GUUGGGUUUCUCCCUUUCUAGGGUUAGAAGGCAAGCCAAUAAGGUUGUCCACAGCUUAGCUAGGGCUUCUUUAUGUCAUGCUAGCCUUAUUGUUUGGGAUGAUCUCCCUAAUUUUCUUUCUGCUUUUGUUAUGGAUGAUGUUCUUUUACUAGGUUUUUUCACUUAGCUUUUUUGGUCCUAGGUUGGAUGUAUGGGGUUGGCCUAUUGGCCAAGGUUUAGGAUGGACCAUCUAAGUUAAGUUAUUCUCGGUUUGUUAAUAUGUUUAUUUUCCAAAAAAUUUAAAAAUCUAACACAUUGACUUACAGAUGGUGUGAAAACCAAAGGA
rnacentral:misc_RNA from 1 species